rfam:Ovis aries breed Texel chromosome 10, whole genome shotgun sequence.
UCCUUGGUGGUUCAGAGGGUAAAGCAUCUGCCUGCAACGCAGGAGACCUGGGUUUGAAUCCUGGGUCAGGAA